UCCUCACACACACACGGUCUCUCUCUCUUUUGAACUGAAAAAUCCAGGAAACCAGAUCUAAAAAUUUCAUCAAAUCGUAAAUGAUUUAGGAGAAAAUAUUAUCGUAACACUCUAAUAAUAUCAGGAACUUCAAAUAAAUACAGAAAUCAAAGAUGAAAUGAAGUUUUUUCUUCAGAAAACAAGGGUUUCAAAUUGAUUUUGAAGGUUCGACUGUUGUCAUCAUAAACAACGAAAAAAUGGAAGAGAAGAUGAUUCUACUUUUCUAUGUUGCUUCCCCGAGUUAGAGAAGACAUCCUGAAAAAUUAAGAGACACCGUUUUGAUCUCUAUGGAGCUCUUAAAAAAGUCAAUUAGUAUCGUGUCCAUUAAAAGUUCAGUAUUGGAGCAAAGCUAUGAUAUGAUAUGUGUGUACAUAUUUCAUCAUCGGCCACGUGUCUAUGGCGUGGAAGACAUACAAUCCGGGGCAUCAAGGUGUGAUGCCACGCGCAUACAGCCAAGAGACGUGUCUCCUCAGGGCAAGGCCCUCAUCCAACAGAUCCAAUGGAGAAGAAUCGAGGAGUACCGAAAUAUAAUGCCAUUGCAAAGCACUGAACAACAUCCAAAGACUUACUUUAUCCCAUCUCAAGAAAUAUCCAAGAUUAGCGGCUGGGGUUAAUCCGAUUGACACGGAUAUGACAGGAGCAGAGGACGUCUGUCUGGCGCAUACAGACGACCCAACCACCCGCAUUAAAAGUCCUGAGCAGUAUACGUGUCGACCAACCUAUGGAAUACACGAUGACAACUCUUCGUCAUCAGGCAUGGAACGCUAGGGGCAUCGUAGAAGACGAAGAUAUCUGCGAUAUUGACACAAAGCACAAGACGAUAAGAUUAUAAUGGCCUUCGGAAAUGGACCCCACGUUGUAACCCUAUAAAUACCCCUCUCCACUAAGAGAGAAGGGGUCGACCAAUCCACAGCAAUUAGAGGAGAACAUAGGAGAGAGAAAUAAGAAGAGUAAGUAAAUCCCUUAUUUCCGCUGACCUAUGUACACUUUAAAGUCAUUCAACUAUCUUUGUAACCACUCAAUACAUAGUGA